rnacentral:lncRNA from 12 species
UAACUAUAACUCCUGUUAUAGUCCCUAAAGGUAAUUGCACCUUAAUACGGAUGUCAGCAUCGGGCAGCAGGUAAAAGUGUUGAGGGUGGAAUUCUACACCAGAACAAGAAUAGUAGCAUUCUUGAUACUCAGGAAAUAGUCUAAAUAAUAGGUUCCUCCUCAACAGCUCUACUGGGCUACUUUUAACUAAGUUGGCAAUCUGUGGUGUAGUAUAUUACAUUUAAUAUAGUAGCAUAUUACAUUUAAUAUACUAAUCUACUUUCAGGAUUAAUCUCUGAGUCUUUAAUGUCUCCAUCCUCUUUAUGCUGACUCCUCGGAAUACAGAUUAGGGCAGAAAUGGAAUCAACUUUAAAGUACACAUAGAGAAAUGACCCCAGUGGCAGCUGAACAGGGAAGUCCUGAGGGGUUUGACACUUUUCAUCCUCCAGCCAUUAAUCAUCUUGUAGGGAAAGGCUGUAUAUUGGUAGGAGUAAAGUGCCAGCAGUUCCUGGCCGGGUGAUAGUCCAGCUGAGGGUGUCUGACUGACAGCAUGUUGGCACCAGCAUUGAAGGGAGUGAUGGGCUUUGGCUCCAGGUUCCUGUCCUGAGACCACAGCAGGAUGUGCCUUGGACAAAGGUAUGCAUGUUUAAAAUAGAUUUCCAAUAUUCUCCAUAAGUAAAGCAUAUAAAUAUAAAUAUUAUAAU